AUUGAAACACCGGUUUCAAUACAAUCACCGAAGUUAAGCAAGUUCAAGCCCGAUCAGUAACUAGAUGGGUGUCCCCUUGGAAAUACCAGGUGUCGUA